AGCGAACGCUGGCGGCAGGCUUAACACAUGCAAGUCGAGCGGGCACUUUCGGGUGUCAGCGGCGGACGGGUGAGUAACGCGUGGGAACGUGCCCUCUGGUUCGGAAUAACUCAGGGAAACUUGAGCUAAUACCGGAUACGCCCUUUUGGGGAAAGGCUUGCUGCCGGAGGAUCGGGCCGCGCCUGAUUAGAUAGUUGGUGAGGUAACGGCUCACCAAGGCGACGAUCAGUAGCUGGUCUGAGAGGAUGAUCAGCCACACUGGGACUGAGACACGGCCCAGAAUCCUGCGGGAGGCAGCAGUGGGGGAUAUUGGAAAAUGGGCGCGAGCCUGAUCCAGCCAUGCCGGGUGAGUGAUGAAGGCCUUAGAGUUGUAAAGCUCGUUUAUCCGGGACGAUAAUGACGGUACCGGAAGAAUAAGCCCCGGCUAACUUCGUG
rnacentral:rRNA from 1 species